rnacentral:piRNA from 1 species
UGCUCUUCUUUUUUCAAUGAA